rnacentral:rRNA from 1 species
GGAAUAUUGCACAAUGGGCGCAAGCCUGAUGCAGCGACGCCGCGUGAGCGAUGAAGUAUUUCGGUAUGUAAAGCUCUAUCAGCAGGGAAGAUAAUGACGGUACCUGACUAAGAAGCUCCGGCUAAAUACGUGCCAGCAGCCGCGGUAAUACGUAUGGAGCAAGCGUUAUCCGGAUUUACUGGGUGUAAAGGGAGCGUAGGCGGUCUAUUAAGUCUGAUGUGAAAACCUUGGGCUCAACUCAAGGCCUGCAUUGGAAACUGGUGGACUGGAGUGUCGGAGGGGCAAGUGGAAUUCCUAGUGUAGCGGUGAAAUGCGUAGAUAUUAGGAGGAACACCAGUGGCGAAGGCGGCUUGCUGGACGAUAACUGACGCUGAGGCUCGAAAGCGUGGGGAGCAAACA